rnacentral:rRNA from 1 species
UCCGUAGGUGGAUAAUUAAGUCAGAGGUGAAAUCCUGCAGCUCAACUGUAGAAUUGCCUUUGAUACUGGUUAUCUUGAGUCAUUAUGAAGUGGUUAGAAUGUGUAGUGUAGCGGUGAAAUGCAUAGAUAUUACACAGAAUACCGAUUGCGAAGGCAGAUCACUAAUAAUGUACUGACACUGAGGGACGAAAGCGUGGGGAGCGAACAGGACUAGAUACCCUGGUAGUCC